rnacentral:lncRNA from 1 species
AUAAAUUAUAUCAAAAUAAUGGUUUUUAACUGAAUAUAUAUAUUUUUAAUGAAAAACAUGUACUUAGUUUUCUGCUCAGUUUUCCUAAUGAAUAAUUAGAGACUGUUUUCAAACAUUGUUUUCAAAGAUAGUUUCAAGAACAUAAUAUAUUUAUUCUUUGAAAAACAUAUUUUUUAUUUUUACAUUAACAACAGACAGGCCAAUAGGCAUGGAUUACAGGGGGCAUAAUCUCUCUGUAGAAUCAAAUUGAUAAUUAAAUUGCUGUGUAAGCAAAAUUAGCCAGGAGGUAAAAACAGAGAUUUAAAUGUAUGUCUUUAGUUGACAUGUACCUCUUUUUAAUAUUCCAGCACAAGACUGUACCAAUAAUUUUUACUAGGAAGUAGUAUAAUAUAGUUUUUAAGAGCAAGUGCUACAAUAUGAUAAUUGAGUUUGGAUUUUAAGUCUCCUAAUGCUCUUGUGAAAUAUUGGAUAUUUUGCUUUACUUCUAGUAGACUCAGUUUUCUGAACAGCAAGUUGGGGUAAUAUCUUAAGCACAGAUUUGCAGAAUAUUAAAUUAGACUUAUGCAUAUAAAGUACUUGGCAUAAUUCCUGACACAUAAUUCAAUAAGUUAGUGUUAUGAUUGUUAUAACUGUUGAUAAUGUAAUUAUAACCUUCAGAAAACGUAUGCUCUCUCUAAGACUCUGGGCUAUUCUAAAUGCCAACUAAUUUUCCAAGUAAACUAUUCAUUAUUUUGUUAUGUUUAAACAAACAAACAAAAAUUAGAUUUGGGAGGCCGAGGCAGGCAGAUCACUUGAGGUCAGCAGUUCGAGACCAGUCUGGCCAACAUGGUAAAACCUCGUCUCUACUAAAAAUACAAAAAUUAGAGGGUGGGGGCAGGUGCCUGUAAUCCCAGCUACUGGGGAGGCUGAGGCAGAAGAAUCACUUGAACACAAGAGGCAGAAGUUGCAGCAAGCUGAGAUUGCACCACCACACUCCAGCCUGAGUGACAGAGCGAGACUCUAUAUCACAAAACAAAACAAAAACAAACCAGUCAGAGUCUUCAUUCUCUUUCCCAAGUAAAAUCUACAUUCCUCCUGCUUUUCAAAACAUUCCAACAUGUAUUUAAUGAUUCUCAGAGAGAAAAAAAAUACAUUUGGAGGAAAAUUAAGGGAGCUUUUAUACUGUUAUUUACAUUGAUACCUCACAAAUGAAGAUAUAUUUAUAUAUCUACCAAAGCCCCUGAAUCUUCUACAUUGCAAAAUACAUAUAAUUUUUCAUGGAAUGAACUGACUACUUUGCAGUUUUAUUUUCAGUUAUUGAUACUACCUGGUGAACAAAUUAUUUUAACAAAGAAAAUAAGGAAAACCAUGUAGAAUUAUGAAUCAUGGGGUUAUAGGUUUAAAAGGCAAAAAGGAACUUAGAAUUUUACUGAUGAAUGGAAAUCAGACGAUAUGUUGGCAUUUCUUCAAACUAACCCCAUGCUUUAAGUUGAAGCACCUUCAUAUUUCAAAGCACAUUCUGCCAGAGUUUCAUAUAAAGGCAUUUCAAUUUAAUUUAAAUUGGCUAAAACAAUUAGAUAGCUUUUUCUCUCCUAAAUGACUUGCUUUUGCAAUGGAUAUAAAAGGCAUUAGCUUUUAAAAAAAAUUAGAGCAGGUAUGAGGAUUUGUCUCUUGAGAUACACACUGAUUAUUAAUAAAGAGGUUGUGAAAAUUGAACAUGACUUUCAGCCAACUCAGUAACAUGAACUCUAAGUGACAAGUGACAUUAAGAGCCCUUGAGAAGCAGGUCACUGUCAGAAGAAGGAGAUACAUGUAAGUAUAAAAAAAAUAAAAUAUUACCUUUGUAAAGAAGUUUAACUUCAUUUUUUAACUUGAGGAUCACAGUGAGCUAAAGAAAACUUGUUCAAGAGAUUGUUACAUCGGAUUUUUUUUUAAAAGUCUUGUCUACUUGUCAGUAUUCUAAAGAACUUCAUGAUAUUAUUCAAUUUUCUUCAAAUUCUUCAAAAGCUUCCCUUACUCUUAAGCUGUAGUCUAUGCCUUGUAAUAAUGACACACACGCACGCGCGCACACACACACACACACACACACACACACAUAUAUAUCUCCGUGAUUAAUUUCUUUAAUUUAUGGUUGGCUAAAUCCUUAAACCCCAUAACUUGGUUGCACUUCUGUUGUCACGCCUUGGGUAUUGCUGUUGUUCAAAAUUGCUGCACCUCUCAAACCUCAUCUUUAAUCACACACUUUGUCUUUCUUAUAACAAUUCAUUUUCCCUUUAUCAAAUACCUACCAUUUCUGUCCUUCACAGUAGUUUCUGUAAUUAUAUAAUCAAACUCAAUCAAUAUAACAGAAGACAUAAGACACUUGUGUUUUGAAUUCUUUAAUUCACUACAAAUGCUCUGCUAUUUUUGCAUUCAUAAUUUUAAACUGUAAAUAACAAUAACUACUAUUGUCAGUUAGAAUUUGGGGAGAAAGAAGAAGCAGGCUAGUGGGUUGUACUAACAUACAAAUGUUUUGUGAAUCCAUUCCUUUCAGGCUUCUGCAUAAUACCUUUUUUUUCCUCUUUAAUGGAGAGAGCUGCUACAAAGCAGAGUAACCCCAAAUGCCCAACAGCUCUGUGACUCAGACAGAUGUUUAAAUGUUGGGAAUAGGAUGGCUAUGCAAGUGCUAACAGUUCUUUCCAUAUGAAAUAUAAAGGAAAACCAGGAGAUCUAUAGGAAACAUUAAGAUUUUGGUAAUGCAAAAAAAAAAUAAAUAAAAUUAAAUGUCCAAGGAAAUCACCAAAAGUUUCCCAAAAUAGUCGGAUAAUUUCAGCUUUGUUCUGAAAGUGGUAGUCCCAAGAAUUUCCUCUCAGAAUUUCUCCUCUAAUGUGGAGGAAAGUUUAGUCUGUGUCAGGGUUUCACAUGGCCUUUUCCUCAGUAAGGCUUCUCAAAUAUGUUUAUUCUACUUUUAUCCACAGGACAAAGCCAUCUUUGGUGAAGAUAAAUAAGAAACACCUGUUCUUUAUACUAUGUCAGCCAGUAUGAUGUUGGUGUGGGGAUAAGAAAAGCAGACAUUGUUAAUGAAACUAUUACAAGCUUUUUACGUAAAUGUCUUCCAAGGUAGAUGUGCAGCUGACUUCAAUGUGUAAUUAACAAAUAACCGGGGUGACAUCGAUAGAAAGCCAAAAGUAUAUACUUCAUUGAUAAAACUAUUGAUUAACCAAGAGUAUCAACUGAUAUUCUCGAUUUUCAGGAGUAAAUAAAUGACAUCUCAAUAUAGACAAGAAUUGCCCCCCUGGGGUCCUCUUGGCUUCUCUCUCCUGUCGUGGAACCAUGCCUCACAAAGCAAGGGCUGUUGGCCCAGAGUACUCUCUGCUUACUGCAUGAAAGAAGAACCUCUGAUUCAUGCAUGAGGCUGGAUGAAUGAAAGGAGCCCAUAGCUCUCCAUCAUACUCCCCUGAAACAUAGCCUCAGCAACAAGCUUCUAAGGGCAGAACGAGAAAUGAUGAAGCCCCGCUCCUCCUGGGAAGCAGAAAACUACAGCUGAAAGAUGGGGAGGAGUUUUGGAAUUUUCACCACUUACCAGUUAUUUUGGAGAGCUGAUCAGUAGAACGCCUCAUGCUGUCAUCAUAGAAGUUGAUCAAAGUAUUGUUUUCUUUCAGUCCACUAAUUAUAUUUUGUCCUCAAAUUAUAUUCUACCAAAAUUCUGUUUCACCAUAGUCCAAGUAUUUUAAAAAGUUUUCUUGCCCUGUUCUUAUUAUGCAAAACGUAAGAACUAUCCUUUUCCACCAUCUCUUUGAAAAAUCAAAUAUAAAACUGAAACACAAUUCUGUUCCUUUCAUGGUAAUCUUUUCUAUAGUACUCUAUUUUCUGCUCAUUGCUGACAGUAAUGACCACAUAUUACAUUUCAAAUAUGUAUCUAGUUUUCCUAAUCCCUUAUCAAAUAUAUAUUUAUGAAUUGCAGUGGCAGUAUAAACACUUCCAUCUAUAUCUUCAUAUGUAGAAAGCACAGUUUCUUGCACAGGAGAGACGCAAUAAGUAUAGUGUCUAUUAUGACCACAUUUAUAAGUCAAAAAGGAGUUUGAAAUGUUUCUACUUAAAAAGUCCUCCUUUUUCAAAAAUUCUGUGAGACUUUGUGUAGAACAGGAAUUAUUACUUUCUUAAAGUGUGUAGUAGAAUUCACCAGUGAUAGCCUCUAUUCCUGGAGUUUCUUUUGUGCAAUGAUUUUAAACUAUAAAACCAGUUUAGUUGACAGCCUUGAGGCUAUUAAAUUGUAUCCUAAUUACAUCUAUUUCUUUUAAAUGUCUUUCUUAAAUUGACAAAUAAAUUGUAUGUUUUUAUGUAUAAUAUGAUGUUUUAAAGUAAAAUUAGCUAAUUAACAAAUGUAUAACCUCAUAUUUAUUCUUGAAUACGUUUUAUUUUUAUGUUUUUCUGAUAAUUUUUCUAAUUCAUCUAAGUUGGUGACUUUAUUGGAAUGAAGUUGUUGUUAAUAUUAUCACAACUAACCUGUUAAUACUUUAAAUAUUGAAGUGGUGCCAACUCUCUCAUUUCUUAUAUUGCAGACUUUCUUGAUAGUCAACAACUUUAUGAAUCUAUUCAAAAUCCCAGCUUUAUUUUAAUUGCCACAUUGAUUAUUUUUAUUUUUAUUUUCAAAACAUGGCUUUCCUCUCUGGUCUUUAUUAUUAUUUUUCUUUUCAAUCAUAUAUGAUUCUUUUCUUUGUUUCUAAAAUUGGAAGCUAAAAUUAUGGACCUCAUAUUUUUAUUCAUAUUAUAGUUGUUUAGUGUUAUAAAUUUUCCUCUUAGAAGUGCUUUAGUUCCAUCAUCUAAUAAAUUUUGAUAAAAUGUUGCUUGUUUAUAUUGGUGAACCACUACCAAGAGAUAAAAGUUUUAUUAACUUUCUCUCAAUAUAACAUUUUCCCCUGCUAAUGCUUAUCUGUACUACUUGCUUGGUAUCCAAUGAAAUUCUAUCCCACUUUUUGAAUAGUUUCAUCUGGUAAUUAAUCACAUACAAUUUUAUGUAUACAUUUACUGUUUUAGUAGUUUUAAUGCAUAUGCCCUUAAUAUUUGAAGUGAUAUCAUCUAUUAAAGAGUGAAGUCUGUGGUGGUUUUUUCUCUUAAUUUACACACUGAACAUCUAAACUCAUGGUUAUCAAUGAAAAUCGAUUGAAUUACAUUGAUGUAAUUAACUGAGAUUGAAACAUGGUCUGAUUUUAUAGUGAAAUACGUGGGAAUCUGGAAACAAGUUUUUCUUUUAUAUAAGAUUUCCUCUGAGUAUGUUAGAAAAAUAUAAUAUUCUUCUACAUCCCAUGACACUGACCAUCCAAGAUAGCAUCAGCAGCUCAGAUCCCAAAUCUUCACGGCAUUGAAAUAUAGAUGCUUUUUGUUUGUUUGUUUUAAUGCCAAAAGGUUAAAAAUGUGGAGAAACUUUACAAUGAGACCCAAAUAGUUACAGUAUUCAAUGUUGCUAGCACUGACCACAUUUAUAAGUGACAAAGGAGCCUAUGUAUCCUUGAAUAAAUGUCUCUGUGUGAUGUAUGACUCUAAAGCUGAAAUGACACUUGCUGUAUCAAUUUCCUCAGCUGUAAACUGAGGAUAAUAGUGAUAUACAUUGCCUAGGAAUGUGUGAGUAUAAAACUUACAAUGUUUGUGACAUUUGGAUCGAACUGUAUGAUACUUGGUACAUUAAUGAUAAUUAUUCACUUUCUCAAAACUUCAGGGAUUUUAAAUACAUAUACAUACAAACACAUAUGCUAUUUGUAAUACAAAAUAAUCUUGUGAAAAUGAGUUAAUCUAUUUAAUGUGGAGAUCAGAUUUUGGCAACCUAUAGUUUAUGGACCAAAUCCAGCCUGUUAUCUGUUUUGUAAAUAAAAAUUUAUUGGAGCACAAUCCUACUCUUUGAUUUAUUAAUUGUCCAGGGAAGUUUUCACACUACAGCAGCAGAACUGAGGAGUUGUGCCAAAGAUCAUGUGGCCACAAAUUGUGACACUUACUCUAUGGAACCUAAGGUCUUUGCUACACACACACACACAGGCACACAGACUCACACACGUUUGUCACCAACUCCUGGUAUAGAAUAUAGCUUAUAUUCAGUAUCAAAUUGCCAGUCUCCCUUAUCAGCCUAAUAAGUAUUUUAAUUUGUAGUUAU